UUAUUUUCAUCUUUGAAACAGUAAGCUCUGCUGCCAGCACGCUCUCAUUCCACCCAAUUGUUCUUGUCCUAUUUCUGUGUAUUGUUAGCUUCCCUCCCCACAUACUCUAACCUUUUAGGAUAUGAGAUCAGUGAGGGGGAGGAAAUAGGAACUAAUACUUACCCAGUACUAGGUGUGUACCGCACACAUGCUUGACCUCUUCUUACCUAAUCCCUGAAAAGCACUGUUUUCCCCAUUUUUGUGGAUGAGAAGGCUGAAGCUAGUAAUUAAGGGGCUUGUUCAGAACUAGAUAAUUAGAAAGUGUGGAGCCAGGACUCCAACUGAGGCCUAUAUGGUUCUGAUGUCCUUUGUAUGAUACCACAGUGCCCUCAGUGGGCUGCGAGUACUGCAGUUUAUUAAUCUGUCUUCCUUUGCGCCAAAUUACAUAGGCUAUAGGCUAUUUAACUGGAAAGAAAGGGUUCUAGAUGUAAAUCUUCCCAUCUCUCACAAUGUAUGUGCAAUCUUCCUCAAACCAGUCUUAUUCUAUAUAGCAAGAAAUUCCUAAAGGAAAGGGGAUGCUAGUAAAGCUUGAGUCUGAUAAUUUCUGAAACUGCUUUUUCAUUAAGAGUAAAUAAAUGAAUAUGAGACAUUCAAACAUUAACAAAAAGGCUCUUGCCCUAUUUUAGGUCUUGAAGAAUUGAGUAAUUAUGGCACUCUCGUAAGUAUACAGAGGAUGACUUAGGUGGAUCAUCAAUAGUUUAUAUCUGGUUGAAAAUUUUGGGGCAACAAAAAGUCAGACCAAACAAUCUAUGUCAUACCCCGGGGAUCAUUCAUUUGUUUGCUCAUUCCACAAAUAUUUAUGAAGUGCCAAAAAUGUGCUAGGCCUGGUUGUACGUGCUACUGAUACAGUAAGUAGCUAAUAAGGCAAAGUCCUGGCUUUCCUGGCAUUUAUAGCCUGUUGGGAUCAGACAAUAAACAAGAAAAAAGUUAUUGUCAUAUGUAGUAGACAGAAUCAUGGCCCCUAAAGAUGUCCACAUCCUAAUUCCUGGUACUUGUGAAUAUGUAACCUUACAUGGCAAGAGAGAUUUGGCAAAUGUGAUUAAACUAAGGACCUUGAGAUGGUGGAGAUUAUCGAGGAUUUUCCCGGUGGACUCAAUCUAAUCAGAGAGAUCCUUAAAGGCAAGAAUGUUUCUUGGCUGUGGUUGGAGGGAGAUAUGACUAUGGAAGAAUGGUCUGAGAAAGUGAAUGUUGCUGGCAUUGAAGUUGGAGGAAGGGAGUCAUGCACUAAAGAAUGUGGAUGGGCUCUAGCAGCUGGAAAAAGCCUAGAAAAAGAUUCUCCCCUAAGGUCUCCAGAAAGGAACACAGCCCCUGCAGACCUUGAUUUUAGCCCAGUGAGACCCGUAUCAGACUGCUGAACUACAGAGCUAUAAGAUCAUAAAUUUGUGUUGUUUUAAGCCACUAAGAGUGUGGUAAUUGUUACAGCAGCCAUAGAAAAUUAAUACAUCAUACUAAUGUAUUUUAUAAGAGUCAUAAUUACUCUGAAGAAGGUAAUAACAGGAGAAGGAGAUAGCUGGCAAGUCUUUGUGGGAUGGUGUAUUUUCCCCCUCUGAUAUUGUGUUCAGGGAGGGCAACUUGGAGGAGAUGGUAAUCAGCAGAAACCUGAAUGAGAAGGUGGAAAUCUGGAAAGACAGUGUUGGAGGCAGAGGAAAUGCCACAGCAGUCAUGAGGGAGCUGCCCAGCGUUUUAUGCUUGUGAUUUAAUGCCAAAAGGACUUGGUAUGAGUUUAUCAGAAACAAGACAUUUGUUCGUUCGUUCGUUCAUUCAUUCAUUCAUUCAUUCAUUCAGUAUUUUGUUCAUUAAUCAUUUAUUCAUUCAACAGAUGUUUAUUGAGUGGCUCUAAUGUGCCAGGCGCUAUUUCAGGUAUUCAGAAUAUCACAGUAAACAAAUCAUUUCCACACUAGUCUGUCCCUCAAGGCUUGGUUUCACCUGUAUGUAGAAUUCUUGAUUCCAGAAGAAGGCACCAGAUGCUCUUUUCUUUUCUUUUCUUUCUUUUUUUUUUGAGACAGAGUCUCACUCACACUGUCACCUAGUCUGGAGUGCAGUGGCGUGAUCUCGGCUCAUUGCAACCUCCGGCCUCCCGAGUUCAAGCGAUUCUCCUGCCUCAGCCUCAGCUGAGAUUACAGGCACCUGCCACCAGGCCCAGCUAAUUUUUUUGGAUUUUUAGUAGAGACAGAGUUUCACUAUAUCGGUCAGGCUGGUCUUGAACUCCUGACCUCGUGAUCCACCCACCUUGACCUCCCAAAGUGUUGGAAUUACAGGUAGAGCCACUACGCCCAGCCCAGAUGCUCUUCUAUUAAAUGUUCUCCUUUGAUCCUGGGGAGAUCAUUGAGACUGUUAAGGUUCAUAUGAAUCUACCCAAAGUGGGUGUGUUUGCCCUUCUAGAUACUGGGUAGUGUCUGGGAAGUUCUUAACUCUGAAAAUUUCUAAAAGGGACCAGUGCAAGAAUAAUCUUGUGCAAUUAAAAAAUUUAAAUCCAUCUUGUUCCAAAACAGUUACUGUAUUGUCAUAAUAAUAUUAAUAACAAUCCAUCACACACUUUUAAUGUUUUGCAUUGGUUUUUGGCACCUAAUAUGCCAGCAUGAUUCAUCCCUUAGAUGACUUGAAGUUUCCUGUAAAGUCGGAAAAUACUUUAUCUGUGCAGCCUUAGACACACACACACAAAAUGAGUAUUUCAUUCAAACCUUUUGAUCCACGCAAAUAUUUUUUACUUGCCAAAUCCCUGAAGUUUUUUUCUUCCUGUUAUAGUUAAAUUUACUAAUUUAGUCAGUGAGAAAGAUAAGCAAGAAUGUAUUGGCGAAGUCACCUAUCUCUUCAAACAGCUGAUGUUCUCGCAAAUCAGAAUUGAUUUGAAUUAAGGUGAAUGAUAAACGUGCACUGUCAGACCACUCCUGGGAGUCGACAGGCCCCGGCCAUUGAGGUGGAUGAAAGCUGAGCCUUGCUGCGCCAACUUGAGUCUCGUUCACCCUGAGCAGUCACAGAUGGGUCUUGUCUUUUCAGAUGCUCCACGAGGCCAUUGUCACAAUUCCAAGAGCCUGCUGGCAAAGGUGACUGUGGAACAACGAGAUGGAUUGAUGUCCUGGAAAGUGAUGAGGGAGAUCGGGGCCCAGCUUCACACAUCGCAGCCAAUGUCCUCCACUCUGACCUGGAGGGCACCACCUUGCAGUGUGAGGGGCCUCAGGCGCCACAUCCAUUAACUCCUUGGCUUCUCGUUUGAAACUGACAAUGAGGUGACAUGGGCAACUGUCCACAUGGAACAGGACAGAGACCAUCAACUCAUUCCACAUGGGCUACCAGACAGCACCUAGAGGCACCUGGGCUGUCUGAAAAAUGCAUUCUGAUGUGAGAAAGAAAUUCAACUUACAGCUGAGUUUAUAGAAGGUCUGUAUUUUUUACAUGUCCUUUUUCUUCGGCCACAACAGCAAGUCUGUUUUAAGGGGUCAGCUACAUCUUAAACUCUCAAAGUAUAGGGUAAGUUGUGGUUUCUCUAGAAUUUCCAUCGCUGUGACUGAUGCAUAAAAUAACCCAUCACGUGUAGUCUUGUGUCACCAGUGUGCAGGGGGAAAGCCAGAUGCCAUAGAUGUGGUUGUCAUGGAAACCAGCAGUUGCUCUUGCAAAGGUUUUCAAGUCAAUACAAAGUUUCUGUUAAAGUACAUGCAAUUCUGCAGGUGGAGACGUGAUCAUAAAGCUUUGGCUUCUCUCUUUGUCCCACAAAAUAAGAGCAUGAAGUUCUUUUCCUUGCUCACAACUUUCAAUAGAAAGAAAGAUGCCACGAGAAACCUAUAAUCCUGGGAAACACGUAUAUAUUUAAAACACGUUUAGGAACAAAUGGUAUACAUGUAAAGUCAGCAUCAUGGCUAGCAGAUAAAAAUAUUUUUGAAGGAAGGAUUCUGGAAGUGGCAGUGGAAAAGACUGACUUUAUUCUUUUCCCAUUUUAUAGACCCAUCUCAUCUUUGCCUUCAAAAAGAUAUCAGUGGAUGGAAAAGAUGAACACAUUUGUAACCUGGGAUCCUCUAAGAGGCUCUUCAGGGACCUGGUUAGGAGCAAAUGGAUCUGGUCCCUUUCAUCUACUUUGACUUCUCUUGUUCUGUUGUGAGUGUGAGGGGUUGUGAAUGUACUAAUAGCAAGAGGGCAAGGUUCUCAGAGACACAAGAAAUAAGCUGCAUCUAAAUGCAAAUACACUUAGGGCUGGAGUGACAUCUAAAAAGCUACCUUGGAUAAUAGAAACCUUUCAUAGAAGGUUUCCAGGCAAAAUACACAAUAGGGGAAGAAACAUAUUACUUGUUUUCUUUUUAAAAAUCCUCUUAAGAAUUUGUGAUCAGCCUCCAUUUUAGUUCUGAAGUGGUCAGAGCCUCAUGAAAGCGGAGAGGAAAGAGCAGUUAGUCUCUUGACUCCUGGCCUAAAGCUGACCACUAUUUUCUCUUCAGAUGGCCAGGUGGACAGAACCCUGGACUGGGAGGAGAUGGAGGACUCAGUUUGCAGGCUCAUAUCUGAUUCCUUAUGGCUGUACUUG
rnacentral:lncRNA from 1 species